GUUCGGAAGGAGCAAUACUGCUGUCCUGGAGGAAUCCUCAGCACUGAGUGCCUUUCAGCUGGCUGUGCUGGGGCAGAAGCAUUCUUGGAUGUGCACAGUCCUCAUGCAUCUUUCCUGAUUGGAGAUGAAUUUCUUCCUGACAAGAGGAGCUCUUAUUUACCACGGCUUCCUCUGCUCCUUCUGUUUAUUGCCCACCUGAAAUCCUCCUUGCCUCCUGUGCUAGCCUUGUUGUUCCAAGAGCAGGCAGUCAUACUCCCACUGCAGCAGGAAGAGGGAUAGGGUCAGUGGCUGAUAGCUGACAGCUCCUUUUUAUGUUCCCAUCUGUUCCCUCUUUUCCCUUCUAAUGAGAUCAGGUGCUGGAGUGCACUGGGAAGACUUUUCAGUGAGAGGAAGUCACAAACGAGGUACUUAGGUCCUUGCUUUCAUCUUUGCUGGUGAGAGGCUGCUCAAAUCAAACCUGCAUCCUCUUGAGCUGCUCCUAGAACAGAAAGAAAGCAAAACUGUGUAGUGAGGCUGGCAGCCCUGCAUCAGGUAAGUUUGUACUGC
rnacentral:lncRNA from 1 species